rnacentral:rRNA from 1 species
UACGGAGGGUGCAAGCGUUAUCCGGAUUCACUGGGUUUAAAGGGUGCGUAGGCGGAUAUGUAAGUCCGUGGUGAAAUCUCCGGGCUCAACCCGGAAACUGCCAUUGAUACUAUUAGUCUUGAAUUUUGUUGAGGUAGGCGGAAUAAGUCAUGUAGCGGUGAAAUGCAUAGAUAUGACUUAGAACACCAAUUGCGAAGGCAGCUUACUAAGCAAAUAUUGACGCUGAGGCACGAAAGCGUGGGGAUCAAACAGG